AUGUGCCUCAGACUUCUCUGCUGUGUGGCCAUUUCUUUCUGGGGAGCCAGGCUCCACGGACACCAAGGUCACCCAGAGACCUAGACUUCUGGCCAAAGCAAGUGAACAGAAAGCAAAGAUGGAUUGUGUUCCUAUAAAAGCACAUAGUUAUGUUUACUGGUAUCGUAAGAAGCUGGAAGAAGAGCUCAAGUUUUUGGUUUACUUUCAGAACGAAGAACUUAUUCAGAAAGCAGAAAUAAUCAAUGAGCGAUUUUUAGCCCAAUGCUCCAAAAACUCAUCCUGUACCUUGGAGAUCCAGUCCACGGAGUCAGGGGACACAGCACUGUAUUUCUGUGCCAGCAGCAAAGC